rnacentral:miRNA from 1 species
UGCUACAGCGUGCAGAACGUUU